UACGUAGGUGGCAAGCGUUGUUCGGAAUUAUUGGGCGUAAAGGGCGCGUAGGCGGGCUCGCAAGUCAGGGGUGAAAGCCCGCGGCUCAACCGCGGAAGCGCCUUUGAUACUGCGGGCCUCGAGGGGGGUAGGGGCGUGCGGAACUUCCGGUGGAGCGGUGAAAUGCGUAGAUAUCGGAAGGAACACCGGUGGCGAAAGCGGCGCGCUGGACCCCCACUGACGCUGAGGCGCGAAAGCCAGGGGAGCAAACGGG
rnacentral:rRNA from 1 species